rnacentral:ncRNA from 1 species
AUAAACGUCAGCGAUGGAGUCCGCUGUGGGUGUAAGCCUAAACCGCUUUUAAGCUGAUGACUCCUAUCUUUUU